rnacentral:pre_miRNA from 1 species
UACAUACUCCCUCCCUCCGGAAAUAUUUGUUAUCAAAAUGAAUAAAAGGAUAUGUAUCUAGACAUUUUGAUGACAAGUAUUUCCGGGCGGAGGGAGUACAUC